rnacentral:rRNA from 1 species
UACGAAGGGGGCUAGCGUUGCUCGGAAUCACUGGGCGUAAAGGGUGCGUAGGCGGGUCUUUAAGUCAGGGGUGAAAUCCUGGAGCUCAACUCCAGAACUGCCUUUGAUACUGAGGAUCUUGAGUACGGGAGAGGUGAGUGGAACUGCGAGUGUAGAGGUGAAAUUCGUAGAUAUUCGCAAGAACACCAGUGGCGAAGGCGGCUCACUGGCCCGUAACUGACGCUGAGGAGCGAAAGCGUGGGGAGCGAACAGG